rnacentral:rRNA from 1 species
GUGGGGAAUCUUGCGCAAUGGGCGAAAGCCUGACGCAGCCAUGCCGCGUGAAUGAUGAAGGUCUUAGGAUUGUAAAAUUCUUUCACCGGGGACGAUAAUGACGGUACCCGGAGAAGAAGCUCCGGCUAACUUCGUGCCAGCAGCCGCGGUAAUACGAAGGGGGCUAGCGUUGCUCGGAAUUACUGGGCGUAAAGGGCGCGUAGGCGGACAGCUUAGUCAGAGGUGAAAGCCCAGGGCUCAACCUUGGAAUUGCCUUUGAUACUGGCUGUCUUGAGUUUGGGAGAGGUGAGUGGAACUCCGAGUGUAGAGGUGAAAUUCGUAGAUAUUCGGAAGAACACCAGUGGCGAAGGCGACUCACUGGCCCAAUACUGACGCUGAGGCGCGAAAGUGUGGGGAGCAAACAGGAUUAGAAACCCUGGUAGUCC